AACUCUAAGGGGACUGCCGGUGAUAAACCGGAGGAAGGUGGGGAUGACGUCAAAUCAUCAUUGCCCCUUAUGACCUGGGCUACACACGUGCUACAAUGGGCGGUACAAAGGGUCGCGAACCCGCGAGGGGGAGCCAAUCCCAAAAAGCCGCUACUCAGUUCGGAUUGCAGGCUGCAACUCGCCUGCAUGAAGCCGGAAUCGCUAGUAAUCGCGGAUCAGCAUGCCGCGGUGAAUACGUUCCCGGGCCUU
rnacentral:rRNA from 1 species